AUACGUCAUCCCGCACAAGCGGCGGAGCAUGUGGCUUAAUUCGAUGCAACGCGAAGAACCUUACCUGGGUUUGACAUACGCCAGAAGCCUGCAGAGAUGUGGGUCUCUUUGGACACUGGUGUACAGGUGGUGCAUGGCUGUCGUCAGCUCGUGUCGUGAGAUGUUGGGUUAAGUCCCGCAACGAGCGCAACCCUCAUUCCAUGUUGCCAGCAUUUAGUUGGGGACUCAUGGGAGACUGCCGGGGUCAACUCGGAGGAAGGUGGGGAUGACGUUUGUCAGUCAA
rnacentral:misc_RNA from 1 species